UACGUAGGGGGCUAGCGUUGUCCGGAAUCAUUGGGCGUAAAGCGCGUGUAGGCGGUCCGGUAAGUCCGCUGUGAAAGUCGGGGGCUCAACCCUCGAAUGCCGGUGGAUACUGUCGGGCUAGAGUGCGGAAGAGGCGAGUGGAAUUCCUGGGUGAUACGCGGUGAAAUGCGCAGAUAUCAGGAGGAACACCUAUUGCGGAAGGCAGCUCGCUGGGACGUAACUGACGCUGGAGACGCGAAAGCGUGGGGAGCAAACAGG
rnacentral:rRNA from 1 species